UACCUGCAGCUCAAGUGGUGGCCGCUAUUAUUGGGCCUAAAACGUUCGUAGCCGGCUGAGUAAAUGCUUGGGUAAAUCGUGCCGCUUAACGGUACGAAUUCCGAGUAGACUGCUUAGCUUGAGACCGGGAGAAGCUAGAGGUACUCCUGGGGUAGGGGUGAAAUCCUGUAAUCCUGGGGGGACCACCAGUGGCGAAGGCGUCUAGCUAGAACGGGUCUGACGGUGAGGGACGAAACCCUGGGGCGCAAACCGGAUUAGAUACCCGGGUAGUCCAGGGCGCAAACGCUGCUUGCUUGAUGUUAACUGGGCUCCGAGCUCAGCUAGUGUCGGAGAGAAGUUGUUAAGCAAGCUGCCUGGGAAGUACGAUCGCAAGAUUGAAACUUAAAGGAAUUGGCGGGGGGCGACAGCAACGGGUGGAGCGUGCGGUUU
rnacentral:rRNA from 1 species